rnacentral:rRNA from 1 species
GACGAACGCUGGCGGCGUGCUUAACACAUGCAAGUCGAACGGAAAGGCCCUGCUUUUGUGGGGUGCUCGAGUGGCGAACGGGUGAGUAACACGUGAGUAACCUGCCCUUGACUUUGGGAUAACUUCAGGAAACUGGGGCUAAUACCGGAUAGGAGCUCCUGCUGCAUGGUGGGGGUUGGAAAGUUUCGGCGGUUGGGGAUGGACUCGCGGCUUAUCGGCUUGUUGGUGGGGUAGUGGCUUACCAAGGCUUUGACGGGUAGCCGGCCUGAGAGGGUGACCGGCCACAUUGGGACUGAGAUACGGCCCAGACUCCUACGGGAGGCAGCAGUGGGGAAUACUGCACAAUGGGCGGAAGCCUGAUGCAGCAACGCCGCGUGCGGGAUGACGGCCUUCGGGUUGUAAACCGCUUUCGCCUGUGACGAAGCGUGAGUGACGGUAAUGGGUAAAGAAGCACCGGCUAACUACGUG